UACGUAGGUGGCAAGCGUUGUCCGGAAUUAUUGGGCGUAAAGCGCGCGCAAGCGGUCCCUUAAGUCUGAUGUGAAAGCCCACGGCUCAACCGUGGAGGGUCAUUGGAAACUGGGGGACUUGAGUGCAGAAGAGGAAAGUGGAAUUCCAUGUGUAGCGGUGAAAUGCGUAGAGAUGUGGAGGAACACCAGUGGCGAAGGCGACUUUCUGGUCUGUAACUGACGCUGAGGCGCGAAAGCGUGGGGAGCAAACAGG
rnacentral:rRNA from 1 species